rnacentral:lncRNA from 1 species
UGACUUCACCAGGAGGUUCUCCCUCACUGGUCCUCUUCAGGCUCCGGAGCAGUAGUCCCGGAUCCCACAAAAUCCUGGGAGAAGGCGGAGGGCGCGCUGCUAGGGCACUGGUGCAGAGCCAUCCAUGGUCAGAGAUAGGACUGGGGUCCAGGAUACCUUCUUUCUUUGGUGCGAUGGUAGAGAGCAAACGGUGGAAGCUUCUCUUAGCGUUCGUUUCUGUGAGCUUCGAUAAGAGGUUUGCCUGCCCCUGACUGCUCUCUUGAUAGCCCACCACUUCGGUUGGGACGAAAGCAAGGUAAUGCAUCCUGAGCGUUUAGUCAGGGUAUGCCGCCGCGUCCUCCCAAACAACAGCUACAGAAACAACGAACAAAACAAAAUAAAAGAUAGAAAACCGUCUUGG